rnacentral:rRNA from 1 species
UACGUAGGGGGCUAGCGUUGUCCGGAUUUAUUGGGCGUAAAGAGCGUGUAGGCGGCCAGGUAGGUCUGGUGUGAAAACUCGAGGCUCAACCUCGAGAGGUCGGUGGAAACCGUUUGGCUAGAGUCCGGAAGAGGAGAGUGGAAUUCCCGGUGUAGCGGUGAAAUGCGCAGAUAUCGGGAAGAACACCCGUGGCGAAGGCGGCUCUCUGGGACGGUACUGACGCUGAGACGCGAAAGCGUGGGGAGCGAACAGG